UUGUUUUUCUAAUUUGUGAUAACUAGGAUGCAUUCCUUCUGCUAAUCUUCUGAUAGAAUAUAACUGCAUAUGAUUUCUUCCCAAYUGACAUCCAUGAACAGACAAUGUCUAUGUUCAGGAGAGAUCUUGGAAUCGAKGUAAUGCAAGACUCUUUUUGAUGUGUGUAUUACAGUUGCACACAUGCGUAGUGUUCGGAAAGUCAUAUAAACUGCAUUGAAUAAAGGAAUUCUGACAGAUGACAACGUGUUAGUCUGCAAGGGGAAGAAUAAUUCUAAUACUAAAUCUGUAUUAGACAUUAUACAGUGGUGCAAAUAAAUAAGAGGAUUGCGUUGGACAGAAAGAU